UACGGGGGGGGCAAGCGUUGUUCGGAAUUACUGGGCGUAAAGGGCUCGUAGGCGGCCAACUAAGUCAGACGUGAAAUCCCCAGGCUCAACCUGGGAACUGCGUCUGAUACUGGAUGGCUUGAAUUCGGGAGAGGGAUGCAGAAUUCCAGGUGUAGCGGUGAAAUGCGUAGAUAUCUGGAGGAAUACCGGUGGCGAAGGUGGCAUCCUGGACCGACAUUGACGCUGAUGAGCGAAAGCUAGGGGAGCAAACGGG
rnacentral:rRNA from 1 species